GCCGGGAUGGCGGAAUUGGUAGACGCAGCGGAUUCAAAAUCCGCCGGUGGUGACACUGUGGGGGUUCAAGUCCCCCUCCCGGUACCA
rnacentral:tRNA from 2 species